AACGCACAUUGCGCCCCCUGGUAUUCCGGGGGGCAUGCCUGUUCGAGCGUCAUUACACCACUCAAGCCUGGCUUGGUCUUGGGCGACGGGCUCCGACCCGCGCCCCAAUGUCUCCGGCUGGACGACCCCGAUCUCAGCGUUGUGACCCACAAAGUCGCUGGCGGGAGGGAGCGUCCGCACGCCGCUAAACCCCCCAUUUUUACAGGUUGACCUCGGAUCAGGUAGGGAUACCCGCUGAACUUAA
rnacentral:misc_RNA from 1 species